AUUGAACGCUGGCGGCAGGCCUAACACAUGCAAGUCGAGCGGAGCGGCGGACGGGUGAGUAAGGCCUAGGACUCUGCCUGGGAGUGGGGGAUAACGUCAGGAAACGGGCGCUAAUACCGAAUACUCUCGGCUGAGCAUAGGUCGGAUUAGCUAGUUGGUGGGGUAAAGGCCUACCAAGGCGACGAUCCGUAACUGGUCUGAGAGGAUGAUCAGCCACACUGGAACGUAGACACGGUCCAGACUCCUACGGGAGGCAGCAGUGGGGAAUAUUGGACAAUGGGCGAAAGCCUGAUCCAGCCAUGCCGCGUGUUUGAAGAAGGUCUUCGGAUUGUAAAGCACUUUAAGUUGGGAGGCGUUACCAACAGAAUAAGCACCGGCUAACUUCGUGCCAGCAGCCGCGGUAAUUC
rnacentral:rRNA from 1 species